rnacentral:lncRNA from 1 species
CGUACACUGUAGAAGGUCAUUGGUGAUGGGAGGUGGUGGUCUUCAGCAGCAGUAGGUAGGUCUGUGGGGAGAGGUUUCAGGCCUCGCUGGAGAUGCCCUCUCGGCUCAGUCCCUCCGUCCAGAGAGAGCACAACACACAGUCAGUCACACACAGCUGGGAGGGGAGAGCAUUUCCACAUAAAACAACACUUACAUAUUUAGAGGAUUUGGAGUGAGGAGAAGGGUAAUGGAAUCACUAUGACACGCAAACACACUGCAUUUUUCCGCUUCAGAUUUACACCCAAAUCUGAAUUCUAAGCUAGUUAAUAAAACCAAUUAGCAAUGAACACAUUGUGGUGUGUGGUAACUAAAUAUUAAUUUGGGAAAAGAGAGUUAAAGACAUGCUCAUUUACAGUCCAUCUAGACUAAAACAAACACACACACACACACACACACACAACUCUAGCUACAGCUCAGUGUGACAGUGUCAUAGCCGGGGGGACAAUAUUAAACCUUGGAAACAGAGCGGGAGCACGUUUGCAACUUAUUUUUAGUGUCGCCAACUCGAGCAGAUCUGCUGUAACAGGGACCUUUUUCAGGGAGAAUGAAGGACAAGCACAGGAAUGGUAUGGGUGCAUGCGUGUCAAGGGAGAGAUGGUGGAUUGUCAAGGGAGAGGUGAAAAAGUGUGGGUGCAGGUUAGGGUUGAAUGGCGGGAACCUGGUUACCAAGAUUAACCACCCAAAACCACUCCCUUUUCCUGGGUUAAAUAACUGCGAAAAACCAGAAAAUUAUAAAAAAAAUUAAUUAACAGCAUGACGUUAUACUGUUAAUAUGCAAUAUCUAAACCUGGCUUCUCUACGGCCUUCUCUCUGCAUGAUCAAUCAUAAAUGCUCAUGGUGUGGACAGACCAUCUCGAUAUGUAUGCAGUUCACACUGCAUGUAGACCCAUCAUGGUAACUUUUUUUUUUUACUUGUGACAGGUAUGCUUACAUUUGCUGCAGCAUAGAAUACUGCUACAGUAAUAUAAGAACCGAAUGCACCUCUAAUUUACACAUCUCCAUCUGGCUUUCGGGGGUCAGCGGAUUUUUGAAUUGUAAAGAUUUUUUUUAUUGCAGCUGCAGUUUUAAAAACAGCCCAUCACUCGAAUAUUGUUGCUUUAAAUCAGAGCAUGCGCGAGCAGACUCCCAUCAAUUCCCUUCAAAUUGCAUGAAAAUAGAUAAUCCUGUUCAAGACAUCCUAGCCUACCUCUUUCAGGUAAUACAUUCAAUUCAGCAUUAGCAUUACAUUUAGCUAAUGAAUAAUAAGCUUCUAACUUAUAGCCUCUGUCUCUUUUGCAAUACGCAUGUGCCUGUGCUCCGCUGGCCUCUCGUUAAAAAACGCUCCUUAGGUCUUGGAGUCCCAGGCAGGAAAAGCUAGACUAGAAUAGCUUGCUGGACAUUUUAUAUUUUUAAAAUGUUUUAUACGAAUAGACUAUUUGAAGAUGGACGCAAGCUUGUUUGCUGAAUGUUAAAUACAACAGUCAACAGAACUGAUGUUUAGUUUGAAAGAAGAGCGAACGCACGAUUGCGGAGGGCUGUAGCAGUUUAGUCAGACUCAUAACCAUUCAGAUCUUCGUGAAGGGAAAGCCAUCUGCAUCUAAUUCUAGUCCUAUAUUAUUCAAGCAUGUCAUUAGAAUGAUGAACAUAAAGACAACGAAAAUCAUUUAAUUUAGCUUAACUGUUGAAAGCGAGGAAGGAAUGAAGCAACAGGAGGUAAGAGAAAGGGGUAGGCUAAUAACAUCAGGGCAAAUAUUAAUAAAAGGUACAGUGCCUUCAGAAAGUAUUCAGACCCCUUGACUUUUUCCACAUUUUGUUUACAGCCUCAUUCUAAAAUUGCUGUGCACUUCUUUUUCCUGCAUCACAAGUGAAUGUAGGACUCACCCUAGGGUUGGGCGGUGUCAUGACACUAGCCCGUUCAGGGAAUUGGCUAGCAGAGAUGGGAACAAACCCCCCUCUCCUGUUAGGAGAGGUUUAUGUGUGUGUGUGUGUGUGUGUGUGUGUGUGUGUGUGUGUGUGUGUGUGUG